GAAAUAUCCUAGAAUUUUUCUUUUUUUCUUGUCUUUUUUUUUUUUUUA
rnacentral:ribozyme from 16 species